UGUUUCAUGAUAAGAAUUUCAUGUCUUUUGUAUUAAAGAAUUAAAUGGAUGAAAUAUGAAGUUUUAUUAAAAGAAAAAGGGGUGAAAAGAACAAAGUUUUGUCCAUCUUUGUUCAUCAUAGCUGAAAGUUAGAGAAGAGAAAGGAGAGGAGAAAGCUCUUGAGUAUUCGGUCAUUAGGAGGAGGAAAAUUGAAGGCGGUUCGUGUGUGGAUCUCGUCAGCAUAUCGUCGCAAACAGGUAAUCCCCAACCAUAGUGGGCUUGGAGCUGUGAGGGAAUUCGGAGUGGCCACCUGUUCUGAAAGUUUGAUUUUCUUCUGGUGAACUGGACAUCCUUUUAUUUACGUUUGAAGUUUUGGGUUUUUAAAUGUAAUAAGGCCGCUUAUUUA